AUGCUAAAGAUUACAAGAGGCGUGUAGUGAACAAAAUUUGAUGGCGUGAUAUGUAUAUAAAAGCAGUUUUAGAUGUUAAUUGUUUGUAGCUUUAGUCACGUGAUUUACUUAUGAGGCGAGAUUUCCACCAUAUUUUGGUAGCAGGUGCUCGAUGACACCUUCUGAUUCAUCGAUAAUGUCACUGUCACCUUCUUCAAUGCACUGAAUCGCGGAUCUGUAGUAGUCCACUAUUGUCUGCGUUUACAGUAGCUAUGCUUGUCGUGCGGAAGUAAUGGUCAAGACAUAAUUCAGGAAAAUAGGGUCGACCCUGACCACAUGAAAUUAUUUCAGGGAAAAUCCGCCUACUUCAUAUCCUUCACAUUCGACACUACUGACAUUCCUAUAUAGUGAAAGUAGACACUAAACCGACACGAUGAAGAAACUAUUCUCGAAGAUAGACACUGGACAACAGAACCCUCAUAUUGGGAAAGUCUUCAAUGUUGGAAGAUUUAGCUGUACAGUUGAAGAUGUCAUUGCUGAAGGCGGAUUUGCUAUUGUGUUCCUGGUGAAGGCUCAGAAUGGUAACCACUAUGCCCUGAAGCGUCUGUUUGUAAACAAUGACCAGGACCUGACUGUGUGUAAGAGAGAAAUACACAUAGCGAAAACAUUAUCGGGCCAUAAGAAUAUCAUUAAGUAUGUAGAUUCCAGUAUUACAGUAACAACCAAUCGGGUGUACGAGGUGAUGAUUUUAAUGCAAUAUUGUAGAGGUCAUGUUAUACAAUUAAUGAAUGACAGAUUGAAUGUUGGAUUUUCGGAAAAAGAAGUUUUGCGGAUAUUCUGUGAUGUGUGUGAAGCAGUAGCCAGACUGCACCACUGUCAGACUCCCAUAAUACACAGAGAUUUAAAGGUGGAGAAUAUACUUAUAGCUGACAGUAGUCAUUACGUGCUGUGUGACUUCGGCAGCGCUACAGCCAAAGUCCUUGAUCCAAGUCAACAAAACGUUCCUCAGGUAGAAGAUGAAAUUCAAAAAUAUACAACUCUAUCAUACCGGUCACCAGAAAUGGUAGAUCUCUACAAUGGAAAACCAAUAUCCACCAAGGCAGAUAUAUGGGCAUUAGGUUGUAUGUUAUACAAGUUGUGUUUCUUCAUCUUACCCUUUGGGGAAAGUACACUGGCUAUACAGAGUGGAACCUUCACCAUACCAGAUAACUCCAGAUACUCUAACGGGCUUCAUGCACUUAUAGCGUACAUGCUGGAGAUAGACCCUGCGAAAAGACCAGAUAUUUACCAAGUGUCAUAUGUAGCAUUUAAACUGGUGGGCAGAGACUGUCCUGUCUCCAAUAUGUUUAGUUGUAAAACACCUGAAAUUGCCAAGCUAACACUACCUAUGACAGAGUCAGAGGCAAGACAAGUGAAAACGGCAACAUACAAAACUGUGUCAUCGUCAGCUAUAGAGAGUACCACAGUCACCCCACGGUCUCGGCCUAAGGGACAAGCUAUUCCACAGGGGGCCACUUUGGGUCUGCCCCUACAGACCUCUGUCGCACCCCGUAAACGGCCAACCCCUACACACACUCCCAAUACCGAUAUAUCACAAGCAAGUUCCAGUCAAUUGCCUCCAGCAACACAAUCACAAAAUUCCAGCAGACCUAGUCAGCAACAACAGCAGUUUUAUGGUGCCAGUGGUCCAACGCAGGCAGCAGCGGAACACUACAACCAGGCUCCUAACUCGGGGAUGACGGCCACAAAUCAGUACCCUCAAAACCAGCAACAGUACAUGGCUCAGCAAAAGGCUCUCCAGCAACAGUUGUACACACAACAGAUGUAUAAACAACAACAGCAACAAAAACUAUAUAUGCAGCAGCAGCAGCAGCAGCAACAACAACAACAACAACAACAACAACAACAACAACAACAACAACAACAACAACAACAACAACAACAACAACAACAACAGUAUAUGCAAAGUCUUCAACAUCAACAGAAUCUACAACAACAGCAACAACGGUUAAAUGUGGCUCAGCAAAGAGUAAUGAGUCAUUCCCAUCAUGAUGGACAGUCCGUUGCGCCUGCUGCCAUCCACAGCAGUCAUAGUAGUGAGGCACUCUUCUCUAACUUCUCCGACACUUUUCAUCAAGAAAGAACAAAUGUUACUGACGAUUGUGUGUAUAACUCGAGUGUUGGUCAGAACAAUAUGUCAGGUCGCAACUCCAUUGAGGACAAUUUUAAAAUCUCUAGCACUUCUCAUUCUCGACAGAAAGGCAGUACAGGCAAAGAUUCGGAUGCUCAGCCACUGAUAUCUAUAACACCGCCACUGUCACCAAAGGUUGUCAAGAGUCACCGUAGAAACGUCAGUGAUACGUCCUACGUAACCAUGGGAGGAAAGGGAAGUGCCUUCAGGUUGGUCAAGGGAAGAAAUUACCAGGGGAACUUUCUGUCUGCACCAUUACAAGGGAAGUCGAAAUCAGCCACCACCUCACCUGUACAGUCCUCAUCCAUGUCACCAACACUAACACGAGCUGUAUCAGCUGAUAUAUCAGACUGGAAUCCUUUUGAUGAUAACUUCGGUGUUGAUACAGAAGAGGAAAUAUUUGGCAAGGAAUUUGAUAAACUAAGACGUGGCUCCAAUAGCAGUAUAUCUAAUGUUAAGAGUAGAGAAGACCUUGUGAUGUCAGGCUCCGACUCAUCAGACCCCUUCACUAGUGCACCAUUCAAAAAACCAGGUAGAACAGGGCCAGGCAGUUCUCACCACCGGAGCACUUCCAGCACAUCCAACUCCAGUUAUGGAGGAGAAGAAAAUGAGGAAAAAUCCAACAGCAAGCAGGACCGGAAGGAACCCAAGGAUGUAGCCAACCAGGAGACAGAGUCACAUGACUUCUUUGGUGCCUCCUUAGUAAAGGCGGCAUUGAACCGGGCGUCACGCUACCAACAACUUGUCGACACGGAUGAGGAAAGUGAAGAGCGUAAAGUCUCCAAACCUGUACAGAUAGAGAGCCAGACUAAACCCCCCAAAGAACAGGCAGAGUCAAGUUCCUCAUACGCAGAAGACGACCAUCCAGGAGUACAUGUAAACAAACGUGUAGUAGACUUCAGUUACAAGGAGUUAGAGGACGAGUAUGGGAGUCGCCCUGUUCCUGCCGCAUCUGCAAAUAAACCGCGUGAGGGACACAAGGUGGCAGCGCAAGAGUUUAACAAUCGGCGGCCUGUAGGGCAUGAAGUACCACCAGGUACGGAUCAUGGAAGCAUAAAUGCAUCAGACAGGAUUGUUGGUCAUGAGUAUGGUGUAAGGCCACUUCUGGAUGAUGAUGAGUUAGAGGAUGCAUAUGGAAUGCAACAUCACUGUGGUAACUCGGAGACAGGGUAUUCACAUGAUCAUGAUGACAGUACCCCCAGUAGUAACAGCACUGUGUCCCCAAACAUGUUGGGUAGUCCUUCCAUGUCCCCAUCAAUAGAGAGAGGUAAAUCUGAUCCAUUUGCAUCUGCACCAUUUAGGAAGAAGCAGACCAGAAAAAAACGCCCAUCUAGUGCUGUAAUGCCAGCUAAACCGCCAGGAAACUCAGAUAUAUUUGCAAAGGCACCGUUCAAACCAAAGUUCAUGACAAAGUCUAAAACUCACCAGUCUAUAGGAAGCCCACUACUGCAGGGUGACAUGGACAAAACUGAGGAGAGUGUAGGAAGCGAGACUAGCAAUGGCGAUAUAUUUGGCAAGGCUCCCUUCAAAAUAGCUCCUGCAACUAAACCUAAACCAUUGAUGCAUGAAUUGUCUCCCCCUUGUGAGCCAGUGUCAACUGUAGGCCAGACCUCUGAACAGGUCAAACAAACUGUGAUAGUAUCAACUCCCUCCGUUAUACCACCCAACUCCAGACAGUUCUACUCCAUGUCAACCACCACCUCCCACAUGGCAGGUGUACAAGCAUCCAUACAACAACCCCCAAAGGAACACUUCUCCGCCCCUGAUCCCUUUGGGGCUGUACCAUUUGGUCACAUGAGUAUGAAUAAAAAGGCUGAUGAUUUUGUGCAGACAGGUAAUGUGAAAAAAUCUCAGUCAUUUGGUUAUAACCCAAGGAACAUGGUAUCUAGACAGACACAGGAUGUGAGGCAAACGUCUGGUGUUAGUGAUGUUGGUUACAAAACCCUCAGUAAUGAGGAAAUUAGAUUUCCAGAUUCCAUCUCCCCACAGCACCAACAAGCUGAAGACUUUUUAUUGAGUAGAGAGAGCGAUGAUGAUGAGUCAGAGGAGGAUGAUGAGGAGGAAAACCUCAGUUCCAGUUUCCAGCAUUCCAGGGGGCGCACCAAGCCUGCACGGCGGAGCCCGCGUGAUACGGUUUCUACGUCAGGGUUCGCAAAUAUGAGUUUUAAUGAUGAUGAUGAAGGAGGGGACCCUGACGGGGUUCACGCUCAGGGAUUCAUGGGGCAGGACUUGAAUAAAUGUAUUGGCCAUAAUUUACAUGUGUCAAGCAUUCGCCAUCCUGCAUACACCAAGGAAUCUAACUCGCAGGUAGCAAAUGCUUCAACAGAAGCAAUGAAGGUUAGCUCUGGUGGUUACGACACCUUCACAUGGCCGAGGAAACAACGGAAGAUUCCCACAAUCAGUAUGGCUACUAAUGAACCGUUUAGUUCUAAAAAGAAAGUAGAUUUGGUGUCAAAGUGAUGACAACAAAGAUAGACUUGGUGUCAAUGUAAUGAUUUGCUUGUGAUUUUGGUGAAUUUGGUGAUUUUUUUUUAUCUAUAAUAUACCAGAAAAACUAAUAAAAUUCCGUUAAAGUUUGUUUUGUUUACAUAGACUUACAGUAGAUACUUUUGUAGUUUUUGCUUAGAGUUGUGCUGUUGAGGUAAUAAAUUUAAUGAUGCAAGAUUGUACAUUUAUACAUUUUCUAGAUCUCCUGUAUAUUUGAUAUAGUUUCUAGAUCCCCCUGUACAUUUGAUAUAGUUUCUAGAUAUCCUGUACAUUUGAUGUAGUUUCUUGAUCCCCCUGUGCAUUUGAUAUAGUUUCUAGAUCUCCUAUAUAUUUGAUAUAGUUUUUACAUCUCCUGUAUAUUUGAUGUAGUUUCUUGAUCCCCUGUGCAUUUGAUUUAGUUUCUAGAUCUCCUAUACUUUGCCCGGUGCUUUCUUUGUCCCUAAUGACCUCCUCUUCACUAUUUAUACAACAUAGGUUCCUUUUUAGGUCUUAUAUCGAUCAGCAAUACAACAACCAUCCACAGAGAGUGCAUCAAACGGACACGGAGAACUCUAACACCAAACAACUUGUUCUUUUAUCGAUGUUAAGAUUAUGUGUUAUAACAAAAAUGUUUUCCUAUCUUAUACUCUGUAUGAAUGUUUAUUUUAUUUUGUAGAUACAUAAAAUAUCUUUGAACUUUAUUCAAUAUACUAAAUGUGUAUCCCUGUCCCACACAGGUGGGCCGUACUGUUUUUGUGCUCUAUCUGGUUUCGAGGGAUGGGGUUAGGGGGAGGGGAUCUUGCCUGCAUUUUCUGAUUUGUUAGAAUUUACAGUCUGUGUAAUCUUAAAAUGGUGUGGAGAAGUCAUAAAGCAAUGACAUAGGCCUAGAAAUUGAACUACAUUUUUAUGAAUCUGAUAUUUUGGCUGUACGUGGGUGCGUUUGAUAUAGCUUUCAAAGCCGUUCUGUUUUAGUAUACUUUUACUUAUGAAAUAUAAGGUCUUUCAGUGAAAAUAAGUAUGUAUUUUCGUUUCGUGACAAACUCACUUUGUGUUAAUUAUCACACCGACCAGAGGGCAGAAUUUAGUACUAAAAAUAACAAACUAUAGGCGUUGUCGUUUAUGACAUCUCAAUAACACUGGCAUAUUGUGUGACAUCACUUACGCUUUCCUUGUCCUAACAUUGUUGUUGGUGGACAGUCUUUUUAUGAAGCUUAUGACUUAAUGAAGAAAACUGUUUUAAACAGAAUAGUAAUGGUGUAAUAGGGACCAAUACAAUGACUUUGUCUUUAAAUACAAUAUCUUAAUCACCACAUUUUCUGAUAUUUUUGGAUGAUAAUGUGUAGUACACUCUUAUUAUAGAAAUGAAAUGACUAGUUAUGUAAAUCAAUUCUAUUAAAUAAUUGAAAGGUCUUAUCUGCAAACAUUUUCAUUUACUGCUACCGUAGAUAACUUAAUUUAUGAGCAUGUUUUAAUUUUUCAUUUGUAUCAUGCAAAUAUUUUUUGUAAAUGUUUGCAUAAAAAUACAUCUGGCAAAGACCAAACAAUUUUUUUGAAGGGUGGAGGGGGUGGGGGGACAAGGCCAGUCCAUUAGGUUUUGGUAUUUUAAACCUCUGUGCACCCUGUACCACUCAGCAAUAAGAAUUAAAAAGAGUCAUAUCAAGACCCCUAAUACUGUAACUCCAUUCUUAAAAUCACUAUUAUGUACUGCAUUCCCCAGUCCGAGUUAUAUUAUCGGAACGAUUGUUUUAUCAUAAUUCUGGUAGAUAUCAGGUACCAAGUCUGGCUGUAGAGAGUUGAACUCGUCGAUGGCUUGAAUUACUGACAAAUCUAUCUAUAUUAAUAGGUGAUGUGCAUUUCAAAGCAGUACAUGUUGAUACCUCCUGUUACCUAGGCUGACAAAGCAGUACAUGUUGAUACCACCUGUUACCUA
rnacentral:misc_RNA from 1 species